GACAGAGGGGGCAAGCGUUGCUCGGAAUUACUGGGCGUAAAGGGCGCGUAGGCGGCGCGGGUAGUCAUCGGUGAAAGUUCAGGGCUCAACUCUGAAUCGGCCGGUGAUACUCCCGUGCUCGAGCACUAUAGAGGCAGGUGGAAUUCCGGGUGUAGCGGUGGAAUGCGUAGAGAUCCGGAAGAACACCGGUGGCGAAGGCGGCCUGCUGGGCAGUAGCUGACACUGAGGCGCGACAGCGUGGGGAGCAAACAGG
rnacentral:rRNA from 1 species